rnacentral:rRNA from 1 species
GACGAACGCUGGCGGCGUGCUUAACACAUGCAAGUCGAACGGAAAGGCCCUGCUUUUGUGGGGUGCUCGAGUGGCGAACGGGUGUGUAACACGUGAGUAACCUGCCCUUGACUUUGGGAUAACUUCAGGAAACUGGGGCUAAUACCGGAUAUGAGCUCCUGCUGCAUGGUGGGGGUUGGAAAGUUUCGGCGGUUGUGGAUGGACUCGCGGCUUAUCAGCUUGUUGGUGGGGUAGUGGCUUACCAAGGCUUUGACGGGUAGCCGGCCUGAGAGGGUGACCGGCGACAUUGGGACUGAGAGACGGAGCAGACGCCUACGGGAGGCAGCAGUGGGGAAUAUUGCGCAAUGGGCGGAAGCCUGAUGCAGCAACGCUGCGUGCGGGAUGACGGCCUUCGAGUUGUAAACCGCUUUCGCCUGUGACGAAGCGUGAGUGACGGUAAUGGGUAAAGAAGCACCGGCUAACUACGUG